UAGUACCGUGAGGGAAAGGUGAAAAGAACCCCGGGAGGGGAGUGAAAUAGAACCUGAAAGCAUGUGCCUACAAGCAGUCGGAGGGGAGAGGCCCCCUUCGGGGGACCUCGUCCCUGACGGCGUACCUUUUGCAUAAUGGGCCGGCGAGUUACCGUGCGCCGCGAAGUUAAGGGGUUCUAGCCCCGGAGCUGCAGCGAAAGCGAGUCCUAACCAGGGCGUCCAGUGGCGUGCGGUAGACCCGAAGCCGGGUGAUCUACCCAUGGCCAGGGUGAAGCGGCCGUAAAAGGUCGUGGAGGCCCGAACCCACCAGGGUUGAAAACCUGGGGGAUGAGCUGUGGGUAGGAGUGAAAGGCUAAUCAAACCCGGAGAUAGCUGGUUCUCCCCGAAAUAUAUUUAGGUAUAGCCUCGCAGCAGAGUGGCGGAGGUAGAGCUACUGGACGGGCUAGGGGCCCUGAUGGGCUACCAAACCCGACCAAACUCCGAAUGCCGCCACCUCGGUCUGCGGGAGUCAGGCCGCGGGGGAUAAGCUCCACGGCCGAGAGGGGAACAACCCAGACCGCCAGCUAAGGCCCCAAAGUGUGGGCUAAGUGGUAAAGGAGGUGGAAUCACGCAGACAGCCGGGAGGUUGGCUUAGAGGCAGCCAUCCUUUAAAGAGUGCGUAACAGCUCACCGGUCGAGUGGUUCUGCGCCGACAAUUCACGGGGCUUAAGCCCACCGCCGAAGCUGCGGGUCGUCCGGAGGUCCUUCCUCCGGACGGCGGUAGGGGAGCGUUCCCUAAGCCUGCGAAGGUGCGCCGUAAGGCGUGCUGGAGGUAUGGGAAGCGAGAAUGCCGGCAUGAGUAGCGAUAAAGGGGGUGAGAAUCCCCCUUGCCGAAAGUCUAAGGUUUCCUGGGGAAGGUUCGUCCGCCCAGGGUUAGUCGGCCCCUAAGGCGAGGCCGAAAGGCGUAGCCGAUGGGAAGCGGGUUAAUAUUCCCGCACCACCUGUACACCGCUUGAGCCGUGGGGGGACGCAGGAGCGUAAGGCCAGCCGGGCGUUGGUAGUCCCGGUCCAAGCGUGUAGGGGGAGCGGGCAGGCAAAUCCGUCCGCUCUUAACCCCGAGACGCGAUGGGGAGGGGCUUUGCCCCAUAAACUGGCCCCAAGCACACUGCCGAGAAAAGCCUCGUUCGGCGAGGUGUGCAGGUGACCGUACCGCAAACCGACACAGGUAGAUGGGGUGAGUAUCCUAAGGCGCGCGAGAGAACCCCCGUCAAGGAACUCGGCAAAUUGACCCCGUAACUUCGGGAGAAGGGGUGCCUCCCGGGGUGAAGGGACUCGCUCCCGGAGCCUUGGGGGGUCGCAGAGAAUUGGCCCUGGCGACUGUUUACUAAAAACACAGGUCUCCGCUAACUCGUAAGAGGAGGUAUGGGGACUGACACCUGCCCGGUGCCGGAAGGUUAAGGGGAGCCGUUAGCCCCUUCGGGGGCGAAGCGGUGAACCGAAGCCCCGGUAAACGGCGGCCGUAACUAUAACGGUCCUAAGGUAGCGAAAUUCCUUGUCGGGUAAUUUCCGACCUGCACGAAUGGUGUAACGACUGGGGCGCUGUCUCGACGGGGGACUCGGCGAAAUUGUAGUUCCGGUGAAGAUGCCGGAUACCCGCGGCGGGACGAAAAGACCCCGGAACCUUUACUGCAGCCAGAUAUUGGGCUUUGGCAUGGCAUGCGUAGGAUAGGUGGGAGGCUGAGAAGCGGGGACUCCGGUUCCCGUGGAGCCGCCGGUGAAAUACCACCCUUGCUAUGUCGGGGCUCUAACCCUGACCCGUGAAUCCGGGCAGGGGACAGUGUCUGGUGGGCAGUUUGGCUGGGGCGGCCGCCUCCUAAAGGGUAACGGAGGCGUCCAAAGGUCCCCUCAGCGCGAUUGGUAACCGCGCGUAGAGUGCAAAGGCAUAAGGGGGCUUGACUGCGAGAGGGACACCUCGAGCAGGUGCGAAAGCAGGGCUUAGUGACCCGACGGUGGCGUGUGGGAGCGCCGAAGAUCAACGGAUAAAAGGUACUCCGGGGAUAACAGGCUGAUCCUGCCCGAGAGUCCACAUCGACGGCGGGGUUUGGCACCUCGAUGUCGGCUCGUCGCAUCCUGGGGCUGGAGAAGGUCCCAAGGGUGGGGGUGUCCACCCCUUAAAGCGGCACGCGAGCUGGGUUUAGAACGUCGUGAGACAGUUCGGUCUCUAUCUGCCGCGGGCGCAGGAUACCUGAGGGGGGCUGUCCCUAGUACGAGAGGACCGGGAUGGGC
rnacentral:rRNA from 1 species